GACGAACGCUGGCGGCGUGCCUAAUACAUGCAAGUCGAACGAACUCUGGUAUUGAUUGGUGCUUGCAUCAUGAUUUACAUUUGAGUGAGUGGCGAACUGGUGAGUAACACGUGGGAAACCUGCCCAGAAGCGGGGGAUAACACCUGGAAACAGAUGCUAAUACCGCAUAACAACUUGGACCGCAUGGUCCGAGUUUGAAAGAUGGCUUCGGCUAUCACUUUUGGAUGGUCCCGCGGCGUAUUAGCUAGAUGGUGGGGUAACGGCUCACCAUGGCAAUGAUACGUAGCCGACCUGAGAGGGUAAUCGGCCACAUUGGGACUGAGACACGGCCCAAACUCCUACGGGAGGCAGCAGUAGGGAAUCUUCCACAAUGGACGAAAGUCUGAUGGAGCAACGCCGCGUGAGUGAAGAAGGGUUUCGGCUCGUAAAACUCUGUUGUUAAAGAAGAACAUAUCUGAGAGUAACUGUUCAGGUAUUGACGGUAUUUAACCAGAAAGCCACGGCUAACUACGUGCCAGCAGCCGCGGUAAUACGUAGGUGGCAAGCGUUGUCCGGAUUUAUUGGGCGUAAAGCGAGCGCAGGCGGUUUUUUAAGUCUGAUGUGAAAGCCUUCGGCUCAACCGAAGAAGUGCAUCGGAAACUGGGGGAACUUGAGUGCAGAAGAGGACAGUGGAACUCCAUGUGUAGCGGUGAGAUGCGUAGAUAUAUGGAAGAACACCAGUGGCGAAGGCGGCUGUCUGGUCUGUAACUGACGCUGAGGCUCGAAAGUAUGGGUAGCAAACAGGAUUAGAUACCCUGGUAGUCCAUACCGUAAACGAUGAAUGCUAAGUGUUGGAGGGUUUCCGCCCUUCAGUGCUGCAGCUAACGCAUUAAGCAUUCCGCCUGGGGAGUACGGCCGCAAGGCUGAAACUCAAAGGAAUUGACGGGGGCCCGCACAAGCGGUGGAGCAUGUGGUUUAAUUCGAAGCUACGCGAAGAACCUUACCGGGUCUUGACAUACUAUGCAAAUCUAAGAGAUUAGACGUUCCCUUCGGGGACAUGGAUACAGGUGGUGCAUGGUUGUCGUCAGCUCGUGUCGUGAGAUGUUGGGUUAAGUCCCGCAACGAGCGCAACCCUUAUUAUCAGUUGCCAGCAUUAAGUUGGGCACUCAGGUGAGACUGCCGGUGACAAACCGGAGGAAGGUGGGGAUGACGUCAAAUCAUCAUGCCCCUUAUGACCUGGGCUACACACGUGCUACAAUGGAUGGUACAACGAGUUGCGAACUCGCGAGAGUAAGCUAAUCUCUUAAAGCCAUUCUCAGUUCGGAUUGUAGGCUGCAACUCGCCUACAUGAAGUCGGAAUCGCUAGUAAUCGCGGAUCAGCAUGCCGCGGUGAAUACGUUCCCGGGCCUUGUACACACCGCCCGUCACACCAUGAGAGUUUGUAACACCCAGAGUCGGUGGGGUAACCUUUUAGGAACCAGCCGCCUAAGGUGGGACAGAUGAUUAGGGUG
rnacentral:rRNA from 1 species